rnacentral:rRNA from 1 species
CCCUAGUACGGCGAGUGAAGCGGGAAGAGCUCAAAUUUGUAAUCUGGCGGUCUCAGGCCGUCCGAGUUGUAGUCUGGAGAAGCGUUUUCCGCGUCGGACCGUGUACAAGUCCCUUGGAACAGGGCGUCAUAGAGGGUGAGAAUCCCGUCUUUGACACGGACUACCGAUGCUUUGUGAUGCGCUCUCAAAGAGUCGAGUUGUUUGGGAAUGCAGCUCAAAACGGGUGGUAAAUUCCAUCUAAAGCUAAAUAUUGGCGAAAGACCGAUAGCGAACAAGUACCGUGAGGGAAAGAUGAAAAGCACUUUGGAAAGAGAGUUAAACAGUACGUGAAAUUGUUGAAAGGGAAACGAUUGAAGUCAGUCGCGUCUCCAGGGACUCAGCCUUGCUUCUGCCUGGCGCAUUUCCCUGGGCGACGGGCCAGCAUCGAUUUCGACCGACGGAAAAAGGCGAGGGGAAUGUGGCACCCUCGGGUGUGUUAUAGCCCCUUGUCGUAUGCGUCGGUUGGGAUCGAGGAUCGCAGCACGCCUUCAUUGGCCGGGGUUCGCCCACGUAACGUGCUUAGGAUGCUGGCGUAAUGGCUUUAAACGACCCGUCUUGAAACACGGACCAAGGAGUCUAACAUGCCUGCGAGUGUUUGGGUGGAAAACCCGGACGCGGAAUGAAAGUGAAAAGUUGGGACCUCUGUCGCGGAGGGCACCGACGCCCGGACCAGACCUUUUGUGACGGUUCCGAGGUAGAGCAUGUAUGUUGGGACCCGAAAGAUGGUGAACUAUGCCUGAGUAGGGUGAAGCCAGAGGAAACUCUGGUGGAGGCUCGUAGCGAUUCUGACGUGCAAAUCGAUCGUCGAACUUGGUAUA